UCAGGUUUAGUUAUCAGGUCAAAGUUUCUACUGGGUCUAAACACUUAUCAUCAGGAAGGAGACCUCUACACAUCAGCUUCUAGCAGAAGAUAGAAGACUCAGUGGGGACUUGAAACAGUAAAUGAAAACACAGGAAAAACACAAAUGUUGGUUUGUUCAGUUCCACAGCAGGUGCAGCCCAGGCUGCCCCUUAGAAGUGGGAAGUUUGACGGGUAAUAAGUGAUGAAAUCCAAGACUCAUAAGAUGCUCUUCCCCCUUUGGCUGUGCAAAGAAAAAGAAAACUCAAGAGGAAGACCCCAGGUCCUUUGUUUUAGCAAGAGAAGCUACACCUUGCUCGGGUGUUUCUGGUUUGGGCUGACCUCCUUUUGGCAACCCUGUUAGAGUUCUCUGGGCUUUUGAAAGAUUAAUAACACAUGUCUAGACUGAGGCUCUCUGUAUAUUCUUUCACCUUCGGAGUGUUGGUGCAGAAACUCUUUGAUCGCAUACCUUGCCAGAGAAAAAGAAAAGAAAAGAAAAUUGACGUUUUUCGCUUAUCUGUGUGUGGGAGUCCCUCCUUGUCUGUGGGUGGUGGAUCUGUUGCAAGACUUGGCGUGCAUGACUGAAACCAUGGGUGAUACUGAGCCCUGGAUACACUGUCUAUGUUCCAGUACCUCUCAGUGGUUGCCACAUGCCACCACACUGCAUCUGUCCUUCCAUGUUUCGUGCUCUGGUUCCUCGUUUGCAUCACUUGCCUUGCAUUUCGGGGGUGUGCAUAAGCGAGGUGGCUCCUUGAUUACAAGCACCUGAUGCUAAGAUAGCUGAACUAAUGCCCGAGAUGGCCGCUAGCAAGGACCAGAGGGGGCUCAUGCACAGGGCACACACAUGCUGGAUGAAGGGAGGAUCUGCGUCCCUGUGGGACUGAGUGGGGAAGCACAGUUUCGUGUAACUCUAAUUUGAAGGAAACUAUAUUCUAAAAAGUGUGAGUUGUUUAUUUUGAAAAUUUUCCUUUGACUAUUUCAGACUGCCAGGUGACUCAAACCUUGAAAAGUGAAACAGUAGAUAAAGGGGGAAAUCCAAGGAGUUGGUUUGCUUUCAUAGUCUCUGUGUAUUUGGUUGGUGCAUGCCAUUCUAUUUUUUAUGUACAUUAUAUGACCCAAAACAGAAGGAAAAGACUGAGGAAAAUGAAACAAGCUAUUAUAUCUUAAAAUGUUUUGGUAAGCAUGCACGAUGGCUUCAGACUAUAAUAAUUUCCUAGCUUUUCAUGGCACACUCUACAUGCAGUGACUUUUAUUAGAAAUGACUGAAGAUGCAAAUUUGUAUUCUAAAUAGGCUCUUUAGGAUUUUUGACUGAUCUGAGCUGACUUUUUGUCAAACCCGCUUAGAUGACCAUUGUUUCAUUUAGUAGCACACUGCAGGAGCUCUUCCUUUAGAGGCGGGAUGUGUCAGCUCCACUGUGUCCUUCUUAGUCACUUGUACUUCGUGAUUAGAAUUCCGUUUGUAGUUUCUUUGUGGAGAGCUUUCAAAGUGGCUUGUCUCUUUUGUAAGAGUUGAUUUGGAUACAUAAUAAGAUUCUUAAAUCUACUUAAUUAGUCCACAUAAAAUGUAACAUGUCAACAAGUUUGAAGAGGGAACAGGGGAGGUGACACUGUCCAGCCUCUCCAUCUGCAGACCCUCAUUUUUUUCCCUUUGGAUGCCUCACUCAGUAUGCCAAGACAGUGUCACACUUAUGGACAAAGAACAAAUAUCUUGGUAAAUGCAUGUGUUGGAUAAUCAUAAAAUAGAAUUUUUUUUUUUUCUGGGGCUGGAGGGUUAUAAGUAGAAAUAGAAUGGCCAGAAUUUCCCAAGCUGGAUUGCCUCUUCAGCUCCAACAUUGGAUUUAAGAUGCUACUUUCUUUUCCUUUUCAUGUGUGUGUGAGCUUGUGAGCCCAUGUGUGUUUGCACAUAUGACUGCAAAUGUGUGGAGUUCAGAGGCCAACCUUGAGUACUGUUAGUUGUUCAAGAGGUGUUCAUCUUGUUCUAUAAGACAGGCUCUCCAACUUCCCUGGCCUGGAACUCACUGAUUUGGCUGGGCUGUCUGUCCAGCAAGUCUCAGGUGUCCAGCAGUCCGACUCUCCAGCAUUGGGGGUAUAAGCAUGCACAAAUCCAAUUCAAGUCCUUCUGCUUCUAUAGCACUUUUCUUUUGGAGUCCCCAGCCUGGCUUUCGAGCUUUUAAAUAAGACCACAAGGGGAUCACACAGGUGGCUUUAAGUGGACCUGUGACUUUCCUUGGCAGUCUCUACUCCAGGUUAUUUGACUGUGACAAUAUCAAAGUGAAUCAUGAUAGGAACAUGGGUCUGUACACAUUCUCCAUGAAGAGUCAGAGCAUAUGUAUUUUUAGCUUUAUGAGCUAGAUAGUCUUUUUCUUUCUUUCUAGAAC